CUUUGUUCGUGUGGUUUCCCUUUAUUGUUCAGGAACCGAACAAAUCCACAAACUGCUGACCACCUCUCUGCUUGUUAAUCCCUAUUGACCUCUCCUGACACCUCAAUCAUCAUGGAUUCUAAGUUUGCAGCUGGAUGGCCAUCGUUCGUAUGCACGAACAUAUGGGAAUUGAGUUGGCGGCCAUCUUGUUCGCACGAACGCAGGCAGUGGUGUUUUGUUGUCGAGUUCAUGGAACUAAAAUUGGACACUUUAACUCGCGAACACUGCUGAACUUUGAUGAAGCCUGCUUUAUUGCUAUUCAUGUCAGGAGAGUGCCAGUCGGUAGGAUUGUUUGCAUGAACUAGGCAUAUAAUCGCUACCUAGGAGCCAGAGAUCGGUUCGAUAUUUUGUUUGAUUGAAACUCCCGUAAUUGACC